rnacentral:rRNA from 1 species
GGAGUUAGCCGGUGCUUCUUCUGUGAGUGAUGUCCUUCCUGCCGGUUAUUGACCCGCAGGCCUUCUUCCUCACUGAAAGUGCUUUACAACCCGAAGGCCUUCUUCACACACGCGGCAUGGCUGGAUCAGGGUUGCCCCCAUUGUCCAAUAUUCCCCACUGCUGCCUCCCGUAGGAGUCUGGGCCGUGUCUCAGUCCCAGUGUGGCUGAUCAUCCUCUCAGACCAGCUACGGAUCGUCGCCUUGGUGAGCCGUUACCUCACCAACCAGCUAAUCCGACAUAGGCUCAUCCGAUAGCGCGAGGCCCGAAGGUCCCCCGCUUUCCCCCGUAGGGCGUAUGCGGUAUUAGCCUGGGUUUCCCCAGGUUAUCCCCCACUACCGGGCAGAUUCCUAUGCAUUACUCACCCGUCCGCCGCUCGCCACCAGGGAGCAAGCUCCCCGUGCUGCCGCUCGACUUGCAUGUGUUAGGCCUCGCCGCCACGCGUUCAUCUGAGCCAGAAUACGACCCGUCGA